CGCCCCGCGGUUUCCACGGCGACCCCGGCCGCCGGGCCACGCCCCGCGGUUUCCACGGCGACCCCGGCCGCCGCGGCCCGCCGCCGCCGCCGCCGCCGCCGCCGCGCCAGGUGCCCUGCGCCCGCCUGCAGGAGGGGAGUCUCCAGGCCAGGCUGAGAAGCCAACUGGUGUACAGCUUUCGGGUCUCAGCUGAGGUGUCAGCUCCCCAGUGGCAUCCCCAGCACCCUGUGGUCCUGACGUCGCACACGUACCACUGCCCCGGACUUGCUCACCCAACGGGAAGGACUUUUCUUCAUACUGCCCUUCCUCCGAGUUGUGCCAGUAAACAGGCUGGGUUUCAGGACCUGGAGAGACCUUUGGGCAGAUGGAUCCCUUUCUCCCCACACUGACUGGAUCUUCUCCAAGGGAUGAGGCAGACACACCUCAAACCCUUGACCUAAAGCACCUGCGAGCCAAGCGUGUGGCUUACUAUGAAAGCAUUGGAAUCAUCAAGGGUGGUUCUUCCAAAGUUGGCAGCAAACCAGUGUCCACAGCUUCCCAAAACCCCAAAGGGAAACCCUCAGAAAAUCAGAUUAAGUUGAAAGGACUGCAGAAGUCAUCUCGCUAUUCAUCUAGUGGAAAGAAAUCUUUGCUCUCUGAAGAGUCUCAAGUGGUUCCUGGAGAAGCAGAGCAGGCCCUGGGCCAGAGGGUCGGGAAGGAGCACAGAAGAAGGAGCUGCCCCAUGGAACUGGAUCUCCAGAUGUUGGCUGAUACCUCAGUCCCCGAGACCCAGAAACUGCGGCAUGUUAUAAAUUGGGCCCAGAAGUUCAUAUCCAACUCUCCAGAAGAGCAGGGGUUGAGGAGUCCCAAAACUUCCUUUAGUCUCCUUCAGUCUAACCUUUGCCAAGGUACAAAAGCUGUAGGAAGUCAGAAAGAUGUCUGUCUGAGAUCAUCUGAUUCUCCACCCCUGUUCAGAGAAGGCCAGGCCAGCCCACAAACAGACCUUCAUAGCUUGUCUUUAUGUCUCUUGAAGAACUUGUCUUCAGAAUUUCCAAGUUCCUUUCUGAUGGUGGAUGAUCCUGGCAGUGGGUCUUGUGGAUGUCAAGAAACUACAGUUAAGAAUGAGAGGGAAGGAAUUGCUGCUGCGCCCCUCGCUGCUAGUUUUAAGGAGGCAGAUUCUGCUCAACAAGAGUAUGAUCAAGCAGGAACUCGACGUCUUCAGAACCCAAAUAAGGAAGACAUGUUUCCUGAGAGGCUGAGGAUUCAGACACAACUCAGAGACACUUCUGAAGAAAGGACGGCUUUAGAGGAUACUGGAGAGAGCCUGCCCAGAAACGGUUACUUCUGGACUCCACUGAGCGACAGCUCAGAGGAAGAGUGUUUAGAUGAACCUGGGGAUAGUAAGGGGCCAUUUAGAAGGGGGGUGCAAUGGAGAAAGAGUAAAGAGUUUGUAGGAGUUGCACUGUCUUCCACAAGUGAUAGCACACCAGGGCCACAGACCACAAUGCUAGAGAAUGGCAUCUCCUUCCCUGGGGACACACCCCUUAAGGCUGACAUGAGGGGAAAUUUCAGAGGAGCAGUGCCUACAGGGAUACCCCAGGAUGUCCCAGCAGAGGUCAAGGCGAAUAGCUCCAAAGACCAGUGCCAUAUUGUGAUCCCCAUCCAGGGACUGCCUGGGGUUCAACUUAUGUCCCCAUCUGACCAUUCCAAAGGAAGGGGAAAGGCAUCAGACAAUGUGAGGUUCACUUUGAGGUCCCCCCACUCUGAUAUUAACAGUAGAAAUGAAGGGAAAUGUGGCUCCAUGGAGAGAGAAGGGGACGCUCUUUUGGGGAGAGCACCAAGAGGCAGUGAGAACAAGAGCGUGCAGAGAUGGGUCAAAAGCAGCCCUCCUGUGAUAACUCAGGGGCAGUCUGAUCUAGCACAUCCCGAGAGUUGCCCGGUCCCUCAAAUUGACAACUUCUCGUCGAAUUUGUUAGAGGACCCCUUGGAGAAUGUUUCAGUUCAUGAACGUUGGGACUCCGAGGUCUUCUGUGCAUCCACUACAGAUUCACACAGUCCUUGGUUCAGCCAGUCGCCACCACCUGGGGCCAACAGCCCAUCAGGACAGACACACCUGGUGGUCACGAGGGCAAUGACUCAAGAGCGAAAGGAAAAGGCGGCGCCUUCCAGUUAUCCUAUUUCCAGAGACGUUUCCAAAAAUGGUUUGAAGCGCUCCUUCCCGCUCCAGGAAGCUGGUGGCGGUCCUUCCUGGAGUGUCCUGGAGACAUAUUUCUAUUAUUUGCACAUGUUGACCCGGAUCAGGGGUCACUCUUCAGAAGAGGAGAACUCCUCUUUGCCUUUUCAGGGGCCUGGGCUGUCAGAAUUAGAGCUGACAGUCCCAUCUCUAGAAGGGAAAGGCAGAUUUAGAGGGGCCAGCCUGGACAGGGACGCCGAGGAAUGCAAGGAUGGGCGUGAGAGCAACGUAGCUGCGGACGGGGAGGGAGACCCCCAUCCCCAAGGACGAGGCUGUGCAGAAGAGGCAGCUCUGCAAGGGACCAGCUUUUGGAAACCUCAAAGCAAUUAUGGGAAGUUACGUUCUGCUACCCCCAAACUGAUAUCCAGAAUCACCAGCUAUGGGGAAUACUGGGAAAUGUCUAAUGCUGUGUGUUCAUCUCAUAUACACGGAGAUGUGACGCCAAGAUUGCAAAACAUUUCAAGAACAAGCUUGACUGAAGCAGAGGAGAGAACCUUUACUGAGAUUUAUCCCAGGACUUUUGCUGUUGGAUCUGUCGGGAAAUUCUUUUGCAAGAAUGUGCCUCAAGAUGUGGAGAGAGAAAAUGAGGAACACAAAAGAGAUACAGUUUUCUCAAGAUGGCUACUAUUGCCUGAUGAAAUAUGGAUUUGUGUAUUUUCCCUUCUGUCGCACAAGGAGCUCGCUCAGUUGCACAAGUCUGUCACCGCUUCCACCGGCUUGCGAGUGACGAAAGCCUCUCCUCCUGCUUGUAUUAAGAAACAAGACCUGGGAGACUCGGUGUGUGUUUUGGGGAAGCUUACUUUUGGAAAUGCGGGAGCCCAUAUCACAUAGCUUCCUCCCAUGAAGACCCAUGGGGAGGUCUCAGGAUCACAAAUGGCUGAAAUUCUGCGUGAGUUUUCUUUUGUCUCAUGGCACUGAACUGUGACUGUGCCUCUGUAGGAAGUAUCGGGCCAGCUUGGGGGCCCACCUCCAACGUAUGUAAAGGGCUUUGGGGUUACUCAUUUUGUUGAUCAACCACAAUGCUGGCUUGGAUAAGUUUCCCUACACUUGUAUUCUCAUCGCGUCCUUUUUUUGUUCCUAUUUGAGUUAUUUUGGUCUCACUUUGCUUAUAAGCCCUUAUAAAUUGCCUGACCUCAUUUCGGGAUUAAGGCUUUUCAGAAAACAUGGGUUCUUAAACUUUAGCAUGCAUCAGAAUUGCCAGGUGGGCUUGUUUAUCACAGAUUACUGCCCCUUCCCACCACCCCCAUUCUGAUUCAGUAGGUCUGCGGCUUUGUGUUUCUAACAGUUCCCAAGAGAUAGUGAUACUACUGGUCCAGGUACUUCAUUUUAAGAACCACUGGCAUAAGGAGACAAAAUUAAAAUGUCACUUAUUUAGUAUAUUAGUGCAACCUGGCAGUCAAAUAGUCAGAGGUUUUUUUUUUUUUUUUUUAAAUGAUUCUUAUGCAGCUGGCACUGAACCAGGCACUAUGGGGACCUUGUCCUGAGGGAAUGUUCUGAGGGACUGUUCUGAUUGGCUUUGUCCUGAGGGAAUGUUCUGAUUGGGCCUUGUCCUGAGGGAAUGUUCUGAUUGGCUGCAGAGAUAAGAAAUCAGAGAAUAGACAGUGUCUAGCAACAGGAAGAUCAGGGAUGGAAAAAUUCAUUUUGAGUUUGGGCCUUUAGGAAGGAACUCAGGGAGAAAACAGGGCUUGAGCUGGUCUUUGAGUGAGGAUGGGGUUUGAAUGGUAGAAUAAAGGGCGGCUGAGAAGGGCCUUCUAAUUAGAAUCUUGUCCUUCCACAAAAGGUCCUGUGGGUGUGAACCCAUUUGUAAAUAGGAUCUUCGAAGAUGUAAUUAUUAAGUGUGGCCCACCCAAAUGAGAGUGGACCUUAAUCCAGUAUGAUUGUGGUCCUUAUAAGCAAAGGGAAUUGGACAAGAAAGAAAAGGCUACAGUGGGGAAUAGGAAGUUAUGGAGGAAGCAGGAAGUCAGGGGAGAAGCAGGAAGUUGGGGAAGCAGGAAGUUGGGGAAGCAGGAAGUCGGGGGAACAGGAAGUCAGGGAAGCAAGAAGUGCAGGGGGAAGCAGGAAGUCAGGGAAGCAGGAAGUUGGAGGGAGCAGGAAGUUGGGGAAGCAGGAAGUUAGCAGUAACCUAGAAGAGAAGGGCUGGGGAAAGCCUACGAACCAAAGGAUUGCUGGCCUGCCAGAACACUAGGGACCCCAAGUGGAAGCAAGACUUCCGGCCUCCCAAACUGAGCCAUUAAAUUCCUGUUGUUUAAGCUAAAACCAGUUUGUGGUAAUUCUGAUAGCAGUCUGGUAAACUAAGGCAAUGGGCUGGAAAAAAGCUCCUAUACACCCACAUAUGGCUGCAUCAUGCAGAAGACAGGACUUCUAACCCCACAGAGCAAGUGUACCCCCCAUAUCCAUGGAGGAGGGUGGUCCCACACCCUGGCACUACCCUCAGGCCCACUCCCCACCUUAUUUUCUAUUUUAUCAGAUCCCUUGUUUCCUGCCAACUUCCUACACUUUCCAGUGCCAGCUGGUUCUUUGCCCCCAAUGUCUCCUUCACCUGAAAUACACGUUGCUCCUGGACAAGGCGCAGCUCAAAUGCCAGCACUGACUUAAUGCAAACACUCCCAGUUCUCCCUUCAGUGAGCUCUGAGGAGAGUAUCAUUCCUUCUCCCAUUUACUUGUGUCCAAGUUGUAUUCAUCACCUGUCAAUUCUAGUUUCCCUGCUGUUCCUUCUGAGAACGUCUGAUUCAGAGUUUCUUCCCCAGACCAGCAGCAUCAGCAACACCUGAGAGCUUGUUAGAACUGCAAGUACUUGGACCCCAGCCUGCCUACAGAAGUGAAACUCUGGGGCUGGAGCCCAGGAAUCUGCUGUCUCAUGAGCCCUCCAAGUGAUUCUAAUAAAUGUUGCUCUGUGAGCAAAGCUAAUUAUUGGACGUGGCCAUCAAAGCCCUCCCAGAGGACUUUGCUCCCUCCUUCCUGCAUGAAAUCCCUGAUCUCUAAUUACUAAGAGUCUAUUUUAAGAGUUGAGAUUUUGCAUUUCUUAUAAGAUGAAUGGUUUUAAUAUCCUCUGCUUGAAAACAAAAUGAGGAUGGUUUCUCCAUAGACUUAACCUUUCAUGGACUUUAUGAUGUAGUAUGACUGCCCUGACUAUUUUUUAAAAUGGUUAUUACUUAAGCAUAGAUAAUGCUUCCCUUAGAGUGCUGUAACAGAUUGGAUAAUAACAGUAAUUUAAUAGAAGUCAAGCUAUCCCACAGUUAGGAGAAAAACCCUGCUGAUUAAUUUCAGUUUUCUAAAAUUUAUGUCCAUUUAAAGUAAACUAUGUCCAUACCUAAAAUCUCCUAAUGCCUUGCUUAAUCCAUGCUGGAAACACUGUAGCAUUCAAGGAUUUGCAAUAUAUUGCCUGUUCUCCAAUGAAGCUGUAAAUGCUAAGGCUAUGCAUAUAUAAUACAUAAGAACACUUUUUCUAAACAAACAAAUUUGUGUGUAAUACAUAUAUAUGUACAUAUAUGUAUACAAAUAUAUAUAAUAUAAAAAUAUGCAAUAUAUAAUAUUGUAUGUAUGUAUAUAUACCUGCAC
ensembl:lincRNA